rnacentral:rRNA from 1 species
GACGAACGCUGGCGGCGUGCCUAAUACAUGCAAGUAGAACGCUGAAGGAGGAGCUUGCUUCUCUGGAUGAGUUGCGAACGGGUGAGUAACGCGUUGGUAACCUGCCUGGUAGCGGGGGAUAACUAUUGGAAACGAUAGCUAAUACCGCAUAAGAGUAGAUGUUGCAUGACAUUUGCUUAAAAGGUGCACUUGCAUCACUACCAGAUGGACCUGCGUUGUAUUAGCUAGUUGGUGGGGUAACGGCUUCACAAGGCGACGAUACAUCGCCGACCUGAGAGGGGGAACGGCCACACUGGGACUGAGGCACGGCCCAGACUCCUACGGGAGGCAGCAGUAGGGAAUCUUCGGCAAUGGAAGGAAGUCUGACCGAGCAACGCCGCGUGAGUGAAGAAGGUUUUCGGAUCGUAAAGCUCUGUUGUAAGAGAAGAACGAGUGUGAGAGUGGAAAGUUCACACUGUGACGGUAUCUUACCAGAAAGGGACGGCUAACUACGUG